AGUGAACGCUGGCGGUAGGCCUAACACGUGCAAGUCGAACGGCAGCACAGUAAGAGCUUGCUCUUACGGGUGGCGAGUGGCGGACGGGUGAGGAAUACAUCGGAAUCUACUUUUUCGUGGGGGAUAACGUAGGGUAACUUACGCUAAUACCGCAUACGACCUACGGGUGAAAGCAGGGGAUCUUCGGACCUUGCGCGAUUGAAUGAGCCGAUGUCGGAUUAGCUAGUUGGCGGGGUAAAGGCCCACCAAGGCGACGAUCCGUAGCUGGUCUGAGAGGAUGAUCAGCCACACUGGAACUGAGACACGGUCCAGACUCCUACGGGAGGCAGCAGUGGGGAAUAUUGGACAAUGGGCGCAAGCCUGAUCCAGCCAUACCGCGUGGGUGAAGAAGGCCUUCGGGUUGUAAAGCCCUUUUGUUGGGAAAGAAAAGCAGCAGGUUAAUACCCCGCUGUUCUGACGGUACCCAAAGAAUAAGCACCGGCUAACUUCGU
rnacentral:rRNA from 1 species